AGAGUUGAUCAUGGCUCAGGAUGAACGCUAGCGGCAGGCUUAACACAUGCAAGUCGAGGGGCAGCGGGAUGUAGCAAUACAUUGCCGGCGACCGGCGGAUGGGUGCGUAACGCGUAUGCAACCUACCUUAUACAGGGGAAUAACCUUUCGAAAGGGAGACUAACACCCCAUAGUAUUGAUUUAAGGCAUCUUAGAUUAAUUAAAUAUUUAUAGGUAUAAGAUGGGCAUGCGUAUGAUUAGCUAGUUGGUAAGGUAACGGCUUACCAAGGCGACGAUCAUUAGGGGUUCUGAGAGGAAGGUCCCCCACACUGGUACUGAGACACGGACCAGACUCCUACGGGAGGCAGCAGUGAGGAAUAUUGGUCAAUGGGCGCAAGCCUGAACCAGCCAUGCCGCGUGCAAGGAAGACGGCCUUAUGGGUUGUAAACUGCUUUUACAUAAGACUAACCGUAUAUUUGCGAAUAUACCUGAAUGUAUUAUGAGAAUAAGGAUCGGCUAACUCCGUGCCAGCCGCCGC
rnacentral:rRNA from 1 species